UCUGCGUUUCGCGCAGCGGUCUCGCUAGAAAAGUACAACUAGCGACGAGGGUUGCGCUCGUUGCGGGACUUAACCCAACACCUCACGGCACGAGCUGACGACAGCCAUGCAGCAUCUGUGCAUGGGUCCCGAAAGAGGGCCCUAUCUCUAGGGCUUACUCAUACAUGUCAAGUCCUGGUAAGGUUCUUCGCGUUGCGUCGAAUUAAACCACACGCUCCGCUGCUUGUGCGUGCCCCCGUCAAUUCCUUUGAGUUUUAGCCUUGCGGCCGUAGUCCCCAGGCGGGGUACUUAAUGCGUUAGCUUCGGCACAGGGGGGGUCGAUACCCCCUACACCUAGUACCCAUCGUUUACGGCGUGGACUAC
rnacentral:misc_RNA from 1 species